rnacentral:rRNA from 1 species
AUGGACGCGGCUGCGGUGAUCGGGUGUUUCAGGGACAGGAGCAUCCUCAUCACCGGCUCCACGGGCUUCCUCGGGAAAAUGCUGGUGGAGAAGAUCCUGAGGGUCCAGCCGGAUGUGAGGAAGCUUUACCUCCUUGUGCGCGCGCCAGACGCCGCGUCCGCCGAGCAUCGUGUGCUCACCGAGGUUGUAGCAACAAAACUUUUUGAUGUUCUGCGAACCAAGCAUGGAGCUGAUUUCAACUCUUUUAUCAAAAAUAAAAUUUACCCUCUACCUGGAGACAUCACUAAGGAAACCUGUGCACUCAGAAACUCUAUGGUUGAACAGAUCUCUAAGGAGAUCCAUGUCAUUGUGAGUGUAGCUGCAACUACCAGCUUCUACGAGAGAUAUGAUGUCGCUCUGGCAUCAAAUACCUUAGGAGUUGCCCACGUGUGUGAUUUAGCAAAGAAGUGUGCUAAUCUUAAAAUGUUCCUUCAUGUUUCCACUGCUUUCGUAGCCGGGGCGCAAGAAGGCCUGUUAGUGGAGAAGCCGUUCGAUGUAGGCAAAGCACUAAAGAAAGAUUAUGACCUGGACAUUCAAUCUGAGAAAAAAUUAGUUGAGAGUGUCAAGUCAAAACUCAGGAUACAAUUCUCUAACGACAAGAUAGAGAAGAGGAAAAUGAAGAAACUUGGAUUGAAAAGGGCUAGGCACUUUGGUUGGCCUAAUGUGUAUUCACUCACAAAGGCCAUGGGGGAGAUGUUGUUGGGAUCCUUAGGACAAGACCUGCCAGCUGUCAUAGUACGGCCAAGCAUCAUAUCUAGCACUUUCCAAGAACCAAUGCCCGGUUGGACGGAGGGAACUAGGACAAUGGAUAUGUUGUACGUUGCUUACAAUGACCAAAAACUUUCGUGUUUCAUCGCCGAUCGUAAUGUCAUAGUCGAUGUGAUACCAGGAGACAUGGUAAUUAAUGCACUGAUGGUCGCCAUGGCCAUUCAUUGGGACACACAUGGAAAACAGGCAAUUUACCAUGUAACCAUAGGUCAUCGGAACCCAUUGCUUUUUUCCACUUUUCUGGAAUCGGGCUAUGAGUAUUUCCGCUCUAAUCCUCGUGUAACCAAGGACGGGAGGAUUGUCAAGGAUAGAAGGGUGAAAGUUUUCAAGAAAUACACAUUUUUUCGUUUGUACAUGAUCCUGCGGUAUAACCUAGCACUGGAGACAUUGCAUGUGAUGAGUGUAUUUGGGCAUUCAGUGUCCCAACAUUACGAUAAGCUCAAGCGUGGCUACAAUUUCCUGAUACUUGUAGCAAAGUUGUACGCCCCAUAUGCAUUCUUCAAAGGGUGCUUUGAUGACACGAACAUGAGAAAUUUGUGGGCAAUAACCUCUACAGACCAGCUGAAGGAUGGCUCCACGUUUGAUUGUGAUCCUGCAUGCAUCGAUUGGGGCUCAUACCUGAUCAACACACACAUUCCGGCUGCUCUGACCUAUGCUCGCAAUAAUAAUUAG